rnacentral:lncRNA from 1 species
AUAAUGUCUAGCAUGGCCAUUUAAGAAAAUGAAAAAUAGUAAGUGUUAACAAGAAUGUGGAGAAAUUAGAAACCCCAUACUUUGCUUUUGGGAAUGUAAAAAUGAUGCCACCAUUGUGGAAAACAGUUUGGUGGUUCCUCAAAAAGCCAGACAUAGAAUUACCAUAUGAUUCAGCAAUUCACUUCAAUGUAUACACCCCACACAUACAUUGAAAACAUGUUCAAACAAAAACAUGCACGUGAAUGUUCAUAGCAGCAUUGUUCAUAAGAGCCAAACAAGUGGAAACAACCCAAAUGUCCAUCAACUGAUGCAUAAAUAAACAAAAUGUGGUAUAUCCAUCCAAAGGAGUAUUAUACAGCCACAAAAAGAAAUGGAGCACUGAUACACACUACAAUAUCUCUCAAUCUAGGCCCAACAAGGGUCCCCAUAGACAUAGAAUAAAGCAGUAUUGUUUGGUGGGGGGUUUAAUUUCACUCCAUCACAAGUGACCAUCGCAGCCCUGUCAUUGCAAUUUGUCACACUUUUUUGUGUGCUCUAUCUUCCUGAAGUCCCAUCUCCUCUGCAAUCCACUGCAUAAUCUUCUGUGGGACAAAGCUCCCCAACAUAAUGAAAGAGGUGGAAUUGGGAACGGAAAGUCAAUGGACACAGUUAUCAAUUUGGGCCCCACACCCCCUGACUCCUGGGAUUUGGCCCCAGCAGCCAAAGAGGCGCUAGCGGGGCCUGCUGUGUAGGGAAAAAAAGGCACCACUGCAAAGUUUGCUGAGGCCAAAGGAAGAGCUGGUGGCUGCCGGACGAUGUAAUCCAACGCCCUCCUGAAGAGACCACCACAUAGAGGAAUGCUAGCAGCUCCCCCGCCAGCCUGCUGAGACCCAAGCCCUACGGUUUGUUAGGAUGCAGCUGAUGUUUAGAAACUCCACCA